rnacentral:rRNA from 1 species
AUACGUAGGUGGCAAGCGUUGUCCGGCAUUAUUGGGCGUAAAGCGCAUGUAGGCGGUUUGGUAAGUCGGUCGUGAAAAUGCGGGGCUUAAAGCCGGAUCGCGAUCGAAACUGCUGAAAUUGAGUGCCGGAGAGGGAAGGGGGACUCCCAGUGUAGCGGGGAAAUGCGUAGAUAUUGGGAAGAGCACCGGUGGCGAAGGCGCCUUUCUGGACUGUGUCUGACGCUCAGAUGCGAAAGCCAGGGUAGCGAACGGGAUUAGAUACCCCGGUAGUCCUGGCCGUAAACGAUGGGUACUAGGUGUGGGAGGUAUCGACUCCUUCCGUGCCGGAGUUAACGCAAUAAGUACCCCGCCUGGGGAGUACGGCCGCAAGGCUUAAACUCAAAUGAAUUGACGGGG